CUAGCAGGUCGGGCAAUCGCUCCGUCCUCUAAGCCUUAUGUUUCGUGGCGGAUAAGCCAUUGGAUGAUUAUUUUGAAAGAGAUGAUGCAGCCAAAUCAACGUAAGGCACAGAGGGCGGAGAGGAAAGUCCGAACUUCCAGCUGUUAUUUUAACAAGCAAAGGUAGCGGGCAAUUCCCGUCGGCAGCAAUGCCAGAGAUGCGAACAGAGACGGUCUGAAGCGAAAGCUGAAGACUACCCCCUUGAAGGGUAAUCCUAAUAGCAAUAUUAGGAGUGAAACGGCUAAAUUCUUACCCGGAAGCAAGAGUAAAUCCGAAAUUCAGGAAUUAUCCUCAAUUUUGGUGAAAAAGUAACUCGCAUUGACCCCGAGAGCAAUCGAGGGGCAAGAUAGAUGAUUGCUUAAAACAGAAUUCGGCUUACGGGCCUACUAGGAAU
rnacentral:RNase_P_RNA from 1 species